UGGGUCAUAUUGGGAGAUAUCAAUGAAAUUUUGCUAUCUUCAGAAAAGGAGAGAGGCCCACCUCGCCAACAUGCUCGAAUCAAGGCCUUCCAGGAUGCCCUGGCAGACUGCUCGUUGGAAGAUAUGGGGUAUACGGGAGACAAAUUUACUUGGUUUCGAGGGGGACUUAAGAAGAGGCUGGACCGUGCUGUGACAAAUGCAGGGUGGAUGACUAUGCAUCCCCUUGCAGGAUUGUGUAAUUUGGAGAUGGGAAAGUCGGAUCACUGCCCCAUCCUUUUGGAUACUGAAUACCUUAUUGAUGUUUCUGCCAAGCAACCAGCGUACAAACGACGAUUCGAAGCGAGGUGGUUGGAAGAGGAAACUGUUGAAGAGAUCAUUAGAACAACAUGGUAG
rnacentral:rRNA from 1 species